rnacentral:ncRNA from 1 species
AGACUGUUGGCAAAGUGCCGGCUUCGGAGAGAACAGGCAGAUCGUAAAGACGCCGUCAAUCCUUCCCUGGAGGCUCGUGCCGCGCCAUAUAUGG